ACCAAAGGCAUAUCACCAUGUAGCCCAAGACUGCUUACUCACUUAAGCUAAGCAGGGUCAGUUUGGUCUGUGCCUGGAUGGGAGGCCACAUGGAAAAACUAGGUUGCUGUUGGAA
rnacentral:rRNA from 1 species